GGCGGUAUUUUAGUCUAUUCAGAGGAACCUGUCUUUUAAUCGAUAAUCCACGAUGGACCUUACUUAAGUUUGUAUUCAGUUUAUAUACCGUCGUUAUUAGAAUAUUUUAUAAGAAAGUUAAUUUUCAAGAUUUUUUAAUAGAAAAUAUAUCAGAUCAAGGUGUAGCUUAUGUUUAAGUAUAGAUGGGUUACAAUAAAAUUAUUUAUAUGAAUAUAAAUUUGAAAAAUUUAUUGAAAGUGGAUUUGAUAGUAAAAUUAUAAAGAUUAAUAGUUUGAUUUUAGCUCUAAAAUAUGCACACAUCGCCCGUCACUCUUAUUAUUAAGGUAAGAUAAGUCGUAACAUAGUAGAUGUACUGGAAAGUGUACCUAGAAUGCAGUUUAAAGCUUAUUUAGUAAAGCAUUUCAUUUACAUUGAAAAGAUUUUUGUGCAAAUCAAUAUAAAUUGAUUAUAUUUUAUUUAUUAAUUAAUUUUUUUUUUAUUAUAAAUUAUUAAAAAUAAUUAUUAUCAGAAUUGUUUGAGUAUUUUAUAAAGAAAAAAUAAU
rnacentral:rRNA from 1 species